CUGGAGCGCAAAGGUUCCAGUUGUCACUGUCUCCCUUGUCCCUGAGCAUAUGGGGCACCUUCUAUCUAAAAGGUCAGUGCCCUACAGAGCCCUGACACUGUGCCUCAGCCGUCUGAGUUAAAUGGCAGAGUCACUUCACCUAGAGGAAAUUGGCCAGUUACUAUCUGCCACGUGGCAUUACGGUCAAGGGUCUGAGGGUCGGGGUUUGGCGGUGGUAGGGAGCAGCUGCUUUGCAUGCAGAAGGCCCGAGCCUGAUGGAGCCCAGGGACUGAUUUGGUGAAAAACAUCUUCCUACCUUCUUCUCAGGGGACGCGGGUGGCGCUGUGGGUUAAACUACAGAGCCUAGGACUUGCCGAUCAGAAGGUCAGCAGUUCGAAUCCCCGCGACGGGGUGAGCUCCCGUUGCUCGGUCCCUGCUCCUGCCAACCUAGCAGUUCGAAAGCACGUCAAAGUGCAAGUAGAUAAAUAGGUACCACUCUGGCAGGAAGGUAAACAGCGUUUCCGUGCGCUGCUCUGGUUUGCCAGAAGCGGCUUAGUUAUGCUGGCCACAUGACCCGGAAGCUGUCUGCAGACAAACGCCGGCUCCCUCGGCCUAUAGAGUGAGAUGAGAGCGCAACCCCAGAGUCGGUCACAACUGGACCUAAUGGUCAGGCGUCCCUUUACCUUUUUACCUUCUCAAAUCAAAACCAUGAGGACUAGACUCUUACUUUUGCAGGAAGAUGUCGAGAGAGCACCUGCCCUGAACGCAGAAGGGGCCAGGUUCAAUCGCCAGCGGCUUCUCCCGGUAGGGCAGGGAAGGUCUCCUGCCCAAAAGCCUGGAGAGCCUCUGCUGCCAGUCAGUGCUGGUAAUGCUAGAUGCUAGAUGGAACAAUUGGUCCCGGACACAUUGUUGAUGUCAGCCAACAGCUUCCUGCAUUCCUACACAACGCAGAACUGAAACCCGGACUCUGGCAAAGUGGCAUCUGGUCCACAAAAGCUUAUGGAUGCUCAAAUGUGUUUGCUUUUUUCUUUUAAGGCGUCUGUUGUACCACAAGGCUCUUUCUCGGUUUGGCUCUCCGGAGGCCUGGAAGGCAGCGAAGAUGACCAAAGAAGAACGCAAUGUGGAGGCCAGCCAAAAACAGAGGCUGUGGGAGACUUCUCAAAGCUGUUUGUCGGCCUCGACAAUGUGUCCAGGACGGAUGUCAGCCCCUUCUGCACCUCUGUGACGAGCAUCAGUCUUCAAAAUAAAUAUCUGAAGGGAGCGUAAGGAGGAUUAAGGUGGCUAGCACUGCGCUCCGACACAGAUGCUUUUAUUUAUUACCAGGUUUAACUGCUUUCGCAGUUGGGGUUGCAAAUAUCGACAUUUGCAAACCACCCAAAAUACUUAGCUACAUGGGUGGUAAACAGACAAACGUGCUCCUUCGAGGGACCAAACUGUGGAACUCCCUGCUGCAGGAAAUCACCAAAUUAGAUGGCUUUAAAAAAGGGGAUCAAAUUUGGAGAGUGUAAGGCAAUCAGUGGCUGCUUAGCUUGAGAGGGAUUUACUCUGCCCAAGUAAGCAUGCACCACUUAAGCGUUUUUAAAUUCCACUGAUUUCAGUGUUUAUUCCUAAAGAAAUCUUUCCAUUUCUUUGAAGGCUUCCAGACUGGUGUCUAUUUAUGAGGUGGGGGGCUUCCCAUUCGUGAAAGUGUGUUUGUAGCAAUCACGUGCCGCCUUGCUUGCAUCGAAACUCUAGCCUCCCCACCCCCCCCUUUGCAUUUAAUCUGGGUUUUACCCUUUCUGGGAGCAAUCCAGUAAUCCCUUUCUGGAAGGUCAAUGCUACCCUCAUGAUCAGAGGCAGCCUUGCUGUGAAUAUUAGUUGUGAGUUAGCAAUAGCAGGAGAGGGCAGUUCGACACCUCGCCCUUCUUGUGGGCUUCAUAAGAACGUAAGGACUCCCUUCAGCUGGUUCAGGCCAAAGGGGUGUGGGAAAUUGCAGUUAAACAUAAUUUGCAAGCAUAGAGCUAGUUAAGGCACGAAAGGGUUAAGACCACAGAGCUGCAUUGCUAGAGACACACCCCCUCGCCUCCAUUGAGGGAGGAAGUGAAUCUUCUUUCCUUAUUCUUCUUUGUGCCAUGUAACAUACCAGGAAGGACAUGUCUGAUCUUGAAACUAACUUUCUAUAUAUUGUAUCCAAGAGUAUUCUACCUGUGUUCUCCUUGCUGCCACGUGGAAUGAUGCAUGAACCAGAC
rnacentral:lncRNA from 1 species